rnacentral:rRNA from 1 species
GGGCCCGCACAAGCGGUGGAGUAUGUGGUUUAAUUCGAUGCAACGCGAAGAACCUUACCAGGGUUUGACAUCCUGCGAAUCUCUUGGAAACGAGAGAGUGCCUUCGGGAACGCAGUGACAGGUGGUGCAUGGCUGUCGUCAGCUCGUGUCGUGAGAUGUUGGGUUAAGUCCCGCAACGAGCGCAACCCACGUCUUUAGUUGCCAGCAUUUAGUUGGGCACUCUAGAGAGACCGCCGGUGACAAACCGGAGGAAGGUGUGGAUGACGUCAAGUCAUCAUGCCCCUUACGUCCUGGGCUACACACGUACUACAAUGCUACGGACAAAGGGCAGCAAGUUCGCGAGGACAAGCAAA